AGAGUUUGAUCAUGGCUCAGGAUGAACGCUGGCGGCGUGCCUAAUACAUGCAAGUCGAGCGAGGUACUUCGGUACAAAGCGGCGAACGGGUGAGUAACACGUGGGUGAUCUGGCUUAAGGACCGGGACAACGUUUGGAAACGAGCGCUAAUACCGGAUGUGUCGUGAGAUGAAAGGUGCUUUCGGGCAUCGCCUUGAGAU
rnacentral:rRNA from 1 species